rnacentral:rRNA from 1 species
UUGCUCUCGGGUGACGAGCGGCGGACGGGUGAGUAAUGUCUGGGAAACUGCCUGAUGGAGGGGGAUAACUACUGGAAACGGUAGCUAAUACCGCAUAAUGUCGCAAGACCAAAGUGGGGGACCUUCGGGCCUCAUGCCAUCAGAUGUGCCCAGAUGGGAUUAGCUAGUAGGUGGGGUAACGGCUCACCUAGGCGACGAUCCCUAGCUGGUCUGAGAGGAUGACCAGCCACACUGGAACUGAGACACGGUCCAGACUCCUACGGGAGGCAGCAGUGGGGAAUAUUGCACAAUGGGCGCAAGCCUGAUGCAGCCAUGCCGCGUGUGUGAAGAAGGCCUUCGGGUUGUAAAGCACUUUCAGCGGGGAGGAAGGCGAUAAGGUUAAUAACCUUGUCGAUUGACGUUACCCGCAGAAGAAGCACCGGCUAACUCCGUGCCAGCAGCCGCGGUAAUACGGAGGGUGCAAGCGUUAAUCGGAAUUACUGGGCGUAAAGCGCACGCAGGCGGUCUGUCAAGUCGGAUGUGAAAUCCCCGGGCUCAACCUGGGAACUGCAUUCGAAACUGGCAGGCUAGAGUCUUGUAGAGGGGGGUAGAAUUCCAGGUGUAGCGGUGAAAUGCGUAGAGAUCUGGAGGAAUACCGGUGGCGAAGGCGGCCCCCUGGACAAAGACUGACGCUCAGGUGCGAAAGCGUGGGGAGCAAACAGGAUUAGAUACCCUGGUAGUCCACGCCGUAAACGAUGUCGAUUUGGAGGUUGUGCCCUUGAGGCGUGGCUUCCGGAGCUAACGCGUUAAAUCGACCGCCUGGGGAGUACGGCCGCAAGGUUAAAACUCAAAUGAAUUGACGGGGGCCCGCACAAGCGGUGGAGCAUGUGGUUUAAUUCGAUGCAACGCGAAGAACCUUACCUGGUCUUGACAUCCACAGAACUUUCCAGAGAUGGAUUGGUGCCUUCGGGAACUGUGAGACAGGUGCUGCAUGGCUGUCGUCAGCUCGUGUUGUGAAAUGUUGGGUUAAGUCCCGCAACGAGCGCAACCCUUAUCCUUUGUUGCCAGCGGUUAGGCCGGGAACUCAAAGGAGACUGCCAGUGAUAAACUGGAGGAAGGUGGGGAUGACGUCAAGUCAUCAUGGCCCUUACGACCAGGGCUACACACGUGCUACAAUGGCAUAUACAAAGAGAAGCGACCUCGCGAGAGCAAGCGGACCUCAUAAAGUAUGUCGUAGUCCGGAUUGGAGUCUGCAACUCGACUCCAUGAAGUCGGAAUCGCUAGUAAUCGUAGAUCAGAAUGCUACGGUGAAUACGUUCCCGGGCCUUGUACACACCGCCCGUCACACCAUGGGAGUGGGUUCAAUAAGAAGUAG